rnacentral:lncRNA from 1 species
GUAAAAUCGCAUCACAUGUUGUAAUUGAUUGCGUCGCUGUUAUGUUGACCAUAUGGAAUCGACGUGCGAGACAGUUUGCCUGGGCUUACCGUCUGACUCCCAUUUACUGCACAGCUUGUGUUUCUGACCUUCAAUAUAUGUGCUACUGCUUCUAGCAUCUUGGAAAACAGACAGCGCUACUUUCCAUAAACAUACACCACUAAUUGUAAUUUCAGAUCAGUGGCUGGAGUUGGAGUUGUCAUUGAUUUAAAGUACGUGCAGAAUCAUAAUCCAAGAGGUUUAUCCAACAAAACCAGGCCUCACUUACCUUCCUAGUAUUGCCUGUGGCGCAUCAGACCUAGCAGGAGCCAGACAGCACAAUACAUUUGAAAUGAAGAUUUCUCUCCAUGUAAUUAAUUUCACAUUUGUCUAAUCAAAUUCGUUCAAGGGAACAUGCUCACGUGAAGUUUCGAGCACAAUGCACCAAUUACAUUGUCUCAUUCAUGUGCAAUACACUAUAUACUGUAUGUGCAUACAUUUAGGAAAUACGUCUCACCGUGCCAACUUUUUUUUUCUCUCUCUCUUCCCUUCUCUUUUUCUUUUUUCAGAGGAUUGUUUUGGAAACAGAAAGAUCAUGCACAUCCAAUCUGGAGGAAAUGACCAGGGUUCAAGUGGAAGUGCUUAACAGCUGGUAGUGCCGAUCCAUAAACACGAGAUGGAGACCCUGAUUGGAGUGGCCCACUGUGUAACGUCAGGCUUAGGUUUCAGCCCUUACCCCACAGUGUAAAUCAGAACACAGGGUGGAAAAGAAACCAGAUGGUUAGUGCCUCGCCUGGUGUAUAUAUAUAUGUGUGUGAGUGUGUGUGUGUGUGUUUUUCCUAUUUGUCCUACAUAACUUUGGGAAACAAACCAAAGAAUUAAAAAAGUGCCUCAAGACAAGCUUAACAUACUAUGGCAAAUACAGACUAGACUUCUGUCUGCUAUUUGAUUGUGGAAUGGCAUCUACAGUGCUGAUGGAAUACCCAAAAGCUAC